GAACCCACAGCAAAAAUAAGGGGUGAUUAGUCCUCACUGCUGGGGGAAAUGGGGUUGCCAAAUAUCAAGCAGAAGUAAGUGGGCUUAUUUGGAAUGGAAAUUACAACAACCCGAUUCAGGCAGGAACAUUAAAGACAGAGACCCUUCAGGAAUGAAGGUUUGGGUCACCCUUCCAGGCAAGAAGCCACAACCUGCUGAGCACCUGAUGAGGACAGAGACAACUUGGAAGGGGUAGUGCCAAAAGGACUGACAUGAGUCCUGGUCAUGUGACCUGUUGCAGAAACAAGAACUGCGGUGGAAGUGGAUCAUCAUAAAGGUCUCCAUCCUCAUCUUCAUGUGGAAUAGGCUGAGGAGGAGGAGGAGAGGUUGGUCUUGAUGUCUCAGAGGUGGCAGAGAUGGAAGAAAAUCCACAUAUAAGUGGAUCAGACUCAGAUUGUUCACGGGAUCUCAAGGGGAGUGCAACCUGGCUAGGAGAGGGAGAACUAUGGCCCAGAGAGAGGAAGGGCCUUUAGGGCUUCUUGCUAGAACGUGGGUGCAGGCGCAUGGAGGCUGUGGCUCCCCUUCGCCAGCAGCUUCCCGUGGACUUCCAGACGCGCCCUGCACGGUCAAGGCUGAGUGUGCCUCUCUUCUCAUCCACCGAUGGGUGAAGCUUCCUCUGAUCCUCCAAUUUCUCCUUCCAGUUGUCACUUUGCAGAUCCCCCACAAUUGUGCCAGGCCUCGCCCUGUAAUAAAUCCGUGACCUUG